GACGAACGCUGGCGGCGUGCUUAACACAUGCAAGUCGAGCGGAAAACUUCGGUUUUCAGCGGCGGACGGGAGAGUAACACGUGGGCAACCUGCCUCACAAUGAGGGAUAGCCUUCCGAAAGGAAGAUUAAUACCUCAUAACACAAGAGAAACGCAUGUUUCUCUUGCCAAAGAAUUUCGUUUUGAGAUGGGCCCGCGGCGCAUUAGCUUGUUGGUGAGGUAACGGCUCACCAAGGCUUCGAUGCGUAGCCGACCUGAGAGGGUGAUCGGCCACAUUGGAACUGAGACACGGUCCAGACUCCUACGGGAGGCAGCAGUGGGGAAUAUUGCACAAUGGAGGAAACUCUGAUGCAGCAACGCCGCGUGAGUGAUGAAGGUCUUCGGAUUGUAAAGCUCUGUCUUCUGGGACGAUAAUGACGGUACCAGAGGAGGAAGCCACGGCUAACUACGUGCCAGCAGCCGCGGUAACAC
rnacentral:rRNA from 1 species